GAUGGACGGACGGACAUUCCAGAAAAGGGGAGCCCGGUUUGCCAGUUGGGUUUCAGUGUACUUUUCAGCCCUUUGAUUGACAACAAAAGUUAAACAACAAUAAAUGCCGAGAAAAACUUUUCUGUGCGGUUCUGAAACCGCGGUUUCUAUUGAAAACAAACAGUUCGCGAGUUAGAGAAUGCGGAUUGUUUUUUUUUUGCUGCUGUGCAUAUUUUUGCUUGCUUUAAACUCUUUUUUCAACGGAUGAAUAUAGGAGAAAUUUAAAAAAAAAGCUAUUGCACAAUCACCAGCGGAGGAUGGUGAAGCCCUACCUGCCGACGUGGUUAAAGGAAAAUUGCUACCAGUGUUACAAGUGAGAAUUGUUCCGCUUUUUGCUUCAGUAAAGGAAUGUGGUUGAAAGAAAGAUUGGAAACAUACUGUUGGCACGUGCGCACGGUGUAAGCGGAAAUAGGACAAUAAAUCAAUGGUUGGAUGAACUCCAAGAUUCUAUGGUAUAACAGCCACUGAAACUGCCAGCUGCCGUCGGACGCGCCAAAAAGGAUAAAAUCGAACGAAUCUCGCACGGGUUCAACAUUCCUGGCAUUGCUGCUGGCCCCCCAACUCUGGCCGCGAUAUUCGCCAGCAAGCUGAUGAUGUGGCAAACACCGCAAAUAACAUGUUUGUGGCCGGUUAUCCCGACGCGGGUUUUUCCCUUUAGUGCGAAACGAUCGAAGUGUAAAGCAGAUAAGGGCAGAUUAUCGUUACUUUUUUGUGUUUUUUUAUUUCCUUUCUCCGCUGCCUGGUUGCGGUUUGUUACUAGAAUCAAUCAACGAUGAAUGGAGACGCAAUGUGUUUCAGGCCUAGUUGAAUGAACCAAACCGUCCCCACUGUCGGUGAUGAAUCGUAUAGUAGGCUAACAUUGACAGCACGUGGCGCUCUCGCUAACUGUACUUGACUCUAUAUAAGAAGCAGCGCACAUCGGCGCACUUUGAUUGGAUGUUUGAGGGGAAACGCGACUCUCACUCUCAUCCAACACGCGGGAGAAGCAAUUCUCCCGAUCCCAGCUUCUUUUGCGUUGUUUUGUGUACAUUGCAAUGUCAUACCGUGGAAAGCUGCUCCAGCGUCCAGUGAAAACAUCGGAUGACAUCCUCUCGUGAAAUAUUCAAGCAAGUGGCCAUCCGCGGUGUCGAGUCAUCCGUUUGCUCUUUCCUUUGCAGCGUGGUGGGGUGUGUCAUGAUCAUGAAAACAACACUUUAUGUAAAAUUUUCCUACUCCAACAGCGGUGGUGCUGCUGCUGUUGGCAACUAGAGGAGGAGCCUCUGUAAGUUAAACGGUCGAUUGCAGACUGCACGAAACGGGCGGAAAAUAUAGGGGUAAUUUGUUGAAAGAUAGUGUUUUUUCCACUGUCGUCUAGUUCCUUGAUUUGAGUACUACAUGGGAGCUGCUAGAGGAAAGAUGAAGUUUGCCUGGUUUUUUGCUCUUUUUAGCUGGUGUUUCACGUCUGCGAGGUUAUGAAAUAUUAACCAAUCUGGAAUAGUUUUAUGGUGUUUGCUGUUAAUAUUUUCUUUUUGGUAGAUGACUCUGCACUGAUUGUAACAGCUUUUUGAAUGUUUAAGAUUUGUGCUAUUAUUUUUAAUGUUAUAAUUUUUCUUUUUACUUAUCGUAUUCGUAAUAUAAUUAGUAUUUAUUUGUUACUAAGUUAUUAUUAUCGAAGGAUCAUUAUGGGAGAAGGUAACUCCUUCAAACUAUUGGAAAACAUAUCUUAUUGACUUAAAAAUAUAAGAUUGUAGUAUUGUUAUACGAGAGCUGGUUGAAUUACUUCUGAAUAACACAGAAAUAAACGAGAAGAACGAGAAUGUAGAAUAGGAAAGAAUGCAUCUCAAAUAUAACUUAAGAUUUCGUUAAGUCUAAAUAAAUGGUUAUUUACUCUGAAUAUUUAUUAACCUCCAAACCUUUUUUGAAAUUCUGAUAAAUUCUAAACUUGUAUAUUUUAAAAUUUAAAGGGAUAGAAACUCUGUGUUUUCUACGAAGUUUCAUAAAAUCUUAUGAACUGCAACUUUGUUGGAAGCCGCGAACCUCUAUCACUUGAGAAAAUAAAUUGACAUCGCAACGCUAUCUUUGCGGCCAAUCGCAAACUAAUCCAAGCAUCCAAAUUGAGGCGCCAACUAUC